GGAGCAACAGGAUUAGAUACCCUGGUAGUCCACGCUGUAAACUAUGAGUGCUAAAUGUGGGGAUAUUUUAUCUCUGUAUUGUAGCUAACGCGUUAAGCACUCCGCCUGGGGACUACGGUCGCAAGACUAAAACUCAAAGGAAUUGACGGGGACCCGCACAAGCGGUGGAGCAUGUGGUUUAAUUCGAUGCAACGCGAAAAACCUUACCACUUUUUGAUAUGAAGGUCGUAUCUUUUUUAACCGGAAGAGUCAGUUUGGCUGGACCUUACACAGGUGCUGCAUGGCUGUCGUCAGCUCGUGUCGUGAGAUGUUGGGUUAAGUCCCGCAACGAGCGUAACCCUUGUCCUUAGUUGCCAACAGGUAAUGCUGGGAACUCUAAGGAAACUGCCAGUGAUAAACUGGAGGAAGGUGAGGAUGAUGUCAAGUCAGCACGGCCCUUAUAAGGUGGGCUACACACGUGCUACAAUGGUAACUACAAUAGGUUGCAAGAUCGCAAGAUUGAGCUAAUCCAUAAAAGUUAUCUCAGUUCGGAUUGUUCUCUGAAACUCGAGAGCAUGAAGCCGGAAUCGCUAGUAAUCGUGGAUCAGCAUGCCACGGUGAAUACGUUCUCGGGUCUUGUACACACUGCCCGUCAUGCCCUGGAAAUUGGUUUAACUCGAAGCUGGUGAGCUA
rnacentral:rRNA from 1 species